rnacentral:rRNA from 1 species
GACGAACGCUGGCGGCGUGCUUAACACAUGCAAGUCGAACGAAGUGGCGAACGGGUGAGUAACGCGUAAACAACCUGCCCUUCUGACGGGGACAACAGUUGGAAACGACUGCUAAUACCGCAUACUGAGGGAGGGGAUUGCGUGUGAUUAGCUAGUUGGAGGGGUAACGGCCCACCAAGGCGAAGAUUAGUAGGCGGACCGGGAGGAGGAAUGGCCACAUUGGGACUGGGACACGGGCCAGGAGCCUACGGGAGGCAGCAGUGGGGAAUCCUCCGCAAUGGACGAAAGUCUGACGCGGCAACGCCGCCUGAGUGAUGACGGCUUUCGGGUUGUAAAGCUCUGUUAAUCGGGGCGCGGUACCGGAAUAGAAAGCCACGGCUAACUACGUGCCAGCAGCCGCGGUAAUAC